ACGUAGGUGGCGAGCGUUGUCCGGAAUUAUUGGGCGUAAAGCGCGCGCAGGUGGUUAUACAAGUCUCAUUUAAAAGUGCUGAGCUCAACUCAGUGAUGGGUGAGAAACUGUAUGACUUGAGUGCAGGAGGGGUAGGCGGAAUUCCUAGUGGAGCGGUGAAAGGCGUAGAACUUAGGAGGAACACCGGUGGCGAAGGCGGCCUACGGGACUUAACCUGACGCUGGGCCGCGAAAGUCACUCGAGCAAACGG
rnacentral:rRNA from 1 species